rnacentral:rRNA from 1 species
UACGUAGGGGGCUAGCGUUGUCCGGAAUCAUUGGGCGUAAAGCGCGCGUAGGCGGCCUGGUAAGUCCGCUGUGAAAGUCAAAGGCUCAACCUUUGAAUGUCAGCGGAUACUGCCAGGCUAGAGUCCGGAAGAGGCGAGUGGAAUUCCUGGUGUAGCGGUGGAAUGCGUAGAUAUCUGGAGGAACACCGGUGGCGAAGGCGGCAUCCUGGACCGGCAUUGACGCUGAGGAGCGAAAGCCAGGGGAGCAAACGGG